rnacentral:rRNA from 1 species
UGGGUAAUCUGCCCUCGGCACUGGGAUAGCCCGGGGAAACCCGGAUUAAUACCGGAUAGCCUCUCGGUUCCUCGGAACCGUGAGAAAAGGUGGCUUCGGCUUCCGGCUGAGGAGGAGCCUGCGGCGGAUUAGCUUGUUGGUGGGGUAACGCCCACCAAGGCGACGAUCUGUAGCUGGUCUGAGAGGACGAUCAGCCACACUGGGACUGAGACACGGCCCAGACUCCGUACGGGAGCAG